GUUUAGACCGUCGUGAGACAGGUUAGUUUUACCCUACUGAUGAGUUCGUUGUCUAAACAGUAAUCCAACCCAGUACGAGAGGAACCGUUGGUUCAGAUAAUUGGUAACUGCGGUUAGCUGAAAAGCUAGUGCCGCCAAGCUACCAUCUGUAGGAUUAUGGCUGAACGCCUCUAAGUCAGAAUCCAUGCUGGAAUAGACGAUAAUCACCUUUCCCGAUGUGCCGCGAAUAGCGAUAGGUGUCUUCUGGACACCCAACAUCAUACAAUUGCAACGCACUCCGCUGCCUGUCAAGUACUGGCGGUGGAGAGUAGGCUGAUUUGU
rnacentral:rRNA from 1 species